rnacentral:rRNA from 1 species
GUAGGGAAUAUUGGGCAAUGGAUGCAAGUCUGACCCAGCCAUCCCGCGUGUUGGAAGAAGGCCCUCUGGGUUGUAAACAACUUUUAACAGAGAAGAAACCUCAGGAUGCGUUCUGAAUUGACGGUAUCUGUUGAAUAAGCACCGGCUAACUACGUGCCAGCAGCCGCGGUAAUACGGAGGGUGCAAGCGUUGUCCGGAUUUAUUGGGUUUAAAGUGUGCGUAGGCGGGAAAUUAAGUCAGUGGUGAAAGUCUGUUGCUUAACGGUAUGAUUGCCGUUGAUACGGAUUUUCUUGAAUCGGGUUGAGGUUAUCGGAAUGUGACAUGUAGCGGUGAAAUGCAUAGAUAUGUCAUGGAACACCAAUUGCGAAGGGAGCUAGCUGGGCCUUGAUUGACGCUGAGGCACGAAAGCGUGGGUAGCGAACAGGAUUAGAAACCCUGGUAGUCC